UACGUAGGGUGCGAGCGUUAAUCGGAAUUACUGGGCGUAAAGCGUGCGCAGGCGGUUUGUUAAGACAGAUGUGAAAUCCCCGGGCUUAACCUGGGAACUGCAUUUGUGACUGGCAAGCUAGAGUAUGGCAGAGGGGGGUAGAAUUCCACGUGUAGCAGUGAAAUGCGUAGAGAUGUGGAGGAACACCGAUGGCGAAGGCAGCCCCCUGGGCUGAGAUUGACGCUCAGGCACGAAAGCGUGGGGAGCAAACAGG
rnacentral:rRNA from 1 species